GUUGGGGAUCCCAGAACAGGACUCAGUACUCCAGUCUCUAGCCUAAUCCAAUCUAGCACCGGGGUAAAGAAGGAUGCUAUGGCACCAUAGCAAGGAGGGCAUACUCCAUAGUGACCACUACUAAGGUAAGACUCGAAGAUUCCUCAGCUUUUUCAACAGGAUUUAUCUGAAGACUCAUUCUUGAUGUCAUCACAGCGAGCUAUCAAGUAGCAGUUAUCUUAAAGGGAUUUGAAUAUCCUUUCAAUUGUAUUAGUAUAAAUAAAUGAUAGCUGUGUUGCAUGUACAAAUGAGUAGAAUUUACAGGAAAGAAAAAAAAAACAAAAAAUUUAAUGCAUGGUCAACCUUGCUUCCUUUUCAAAAUAUGCAGCCUGAUGUGGUCAACAUUUGUAGCUGCCUCCAUUCUUUCUUUGUGGAGUAAAGCAGAUUUUUGCCAUGCUAAUUUUUUUGUUUUGUUUUGGAACAAAGUGACAUUGAGGUCUUAGUCUAAUGUAUGAGCACUGUCCUUCUUUGGUCUUACAAAGUUGUCAGUGCUUGCAAUAUCUUAGGAUCAGAAGAUGCAGUAUCUCACUUACCAGAAGGAAAAUGGCCUGCUGUAGGAAAUCUUACAGCUAUAAAUGAAGUCCUAUGCCCAAUGAUUCAUUCUGUAGACCUCAUUUGACUCUGCGCAAUGUCUUUAACUGGACAGAUCCAAACCUCUAGAAUUUGUGUUUAUGAAGGAGGAGGGAUAGCUAAAGCCCUAGUAACUCUCCUGCACAGCUGUGACUGGAGGGAAUCAUGGGCUGAGAGCCCAACCAAUGAAGCAAAGUUUUAUUUUCGUCUCUGCAGCUGACCUGGAUGUCCAGUCCUGGAUAUGUUGCAAGGGUGUGAAAGGGGUAGAAUUUCUGAAUCCUGAUAUGUUUUAUUGUGGAUAGUGAAAGUUCUUCCUUAAUCCUUGGUCUUGUUUUUGAAAUUCACUCUUUUUGAGAACUGGAUAUCUCUGUACUAGGUCAAUGCCACGGACAUCAAGGUCUUUCCCCAGAUGACUGAGCGCUUUGGGAAUUCCCUACCCUGAUCCAAGCAAGAUGCUAAGAGAUUCACUGGCAUUGCUCAGUGGAGUUCCCCGGCAUCAUUCUCAAGAACUGGAUCACUAUGUAUGAGGCUUUGUUCUUGGAAAAAGGGAGUGUGCAGGAUGCCAAAUUUGAUCUGUGAUUACAGGCAGAAACAUUUAAUAUGAAUAAUUGGUCUAUCUUCUAUUUGCAGAGAGUACUGGUUGAGCCAGCUUGUUCAGAAAGAAAGAGUGGAAAGAGGGAAAUUACUAUUGAAAGCCAAAUUUUCAAAUAGCUUAAAAAUACACCAUACAUUGUUUUUCUGUAAACUGCUAAAUCUGAAUAUUCAUUGUAAAACUGCUCUCCUGGUUACACUCUCUUCCAAGAAGAAUUAUUCUUUCCAGUACCAUCUUGACAGCCCUGCAGCCAUGCAGUCUCUCUUUGCAGUGCCAAAAUUGCAGCAGAACAGUUCCAGUUUUAUCAUGCAGAGCAAAGCAUGUACUAUUCAUAUUCUGUAGUAGCCACAGUAGUUGUCCCUGUGUCUGCUGUUCACCAAAACUUAAUCCAUUGCUGGGAAUUUUCACUGCAUGUAGAAAGUUGAUCCACAUGAGAGCAAGCGCUGACAAAAACAAACAAACAAACAAAAAAACACCUAUAUUCUUUAUAAUAUAUAUUUAUAAAUAUGUAAGUAUAUAUAUAUGCUAAAGUAUUUUCUAGUAUGUCUUUUAGCACCCUAAUAUUUUAUAAUCUAAUACGUACCAGUAACCUUUCCCAUACAGAAUGUGACCAGUAAAUGUACUGACAUUGCUGGUAAGAGCUCUGAAAUGUAACUGCAGUUCAAGUUUCAGACAAACUGGAAGAGUUUGUAAAAACCCCAUGGUGUGAAACAAAAAUUUUCAGGCUUAAACACUAUAAAUUUCUUUCACUGUUCUUCUUGCUGAGUGUAUCCACCUAUAUGACUAAAAGCAUAUGUGAUUGGGAGGUAAUUCUCAGACACAAUGCUUGUAUCUUUUUGUGAAUGGUGCUGAGUUCUUACAAAUCUUUUGAUUUGGAGUGGCAGGAAAUGAACUAUGGCAUAGCUAUACCCAUGCAGGCUGCUGCAGGCUGUCUGCAGCUCCUUGUCUUGGUCAGCGGGCUCAGGCCACUGCUGUCCUCAAAUGACUUUGAACCAGCCUGUCUACAAAAACAAAGUUAGCGUUCCACUGCAAGUCCUCUCAGUAGCAGAUGCUCCUGCUUUGGCUUCAGGACAAGUUGUGUCUUGUAUCUCUGGUGUACAUGAUGUAUUGGUUUGCAUUCAUAGGUGUUAGAGCUCUUUCUCAAAAGAAAAUAACUCCUCUAUAGGGCCUCACAGAGCUCCAUGGUAACCUUCUGGUGACUUUUUGUUUCUAAACAAAUGUUUUUGUAUAUGAAUUUUAUUUUAUUUUUUUAAAGAAACGUAUACAAGUCUGGUAAUUUGCAAUUUCUUUUACUAGCAUUGUACUAACCAUGGUGGAAUGACCAGAAAUAAAAGACACACAGUUCACAUUGUACCUUGUAGUUCCAUUAAGCAGACAGUGGGAAGCAAUUUGAAGUAAGUGAUUUGUAAAGCAGUUCAUUUAAAACAUAAUUUUUUAGACAGCUUGGUGAAAUUCACCAGUAAGUUUUUAAAGAAAAAAAACAAACAAACAACAGCAACAAAAAUCCAACCUGACAAAGCUUUGAAGAUUGAUUCUUACCACAGUUUGAGUAUAUUAUAGUUUAAAUCUACUGCAAUCCCAAAACUUGAAUGUAUUUGUGCACAUGCUGUGAAAGGGCAUGAUUUCUUUAUCUGUGUACUCUUAUGGAUUAGCGCGUACAGGCACAACCCAGCCUGAUGUUCCUGUGUGACUAAUGAGUACAGCUUCCUGACCAGUCUCAAAGACUGGGAGCUACCAUGCCUUCCUGUGCAUAAGCCAUGAUCACAACUGAAGCCACAAGUUUGUGACGUGUUUGAUUGACAGCUUACUGAUAGACCAACCAGCUCUAAUUGCAUUCCAGUUACUCCUGACUGCUCCUUUUCAAUCUAUCUAUCACGAUGCUGCCAAAGACAGAAAUAAGCUACAGAACUGCACAACCAGCAGCAGUCUGUAUUUGAUAUUCUGACCCGGUACUCCCAAGUUGAAUCACCUGAUGUAGCACUUGAUCCUUAGCUCCUUUCCCCCUCAGAUAAACACUGCAGCGGUAAUUCCUGCUGCAGGAAUGUUCUUUCAUAAACGCUUUUGAAGUGAGGGAACCUGAUCUCUUUUAAGAUAAUAUAUUAUUGGUUAGAUUUCAUUGGAAGAGGAUCCUCCAUAAACCUUGCCUAUUGUUUUCUCUCCAGACUAAAAGUUCAGUCAACCGAAACCUUAGUCCUUAGGGGAGCACUGAUGGUACUUCUAAUCGUAAGUGGAAUAUUUAGAAAGCUUUUCUUUCAUCUAAUAAAACCAUCCCCUUCUCUGCCAGCUCAGCUGACUAUGCCACUUUCACAAGUUGGAAAUAGCCUCAUGAUCUGCUGAUUUCUCUGUCAUGUCUUCCAGUAUUUGGUCUAAAUUAUCACAAGAAAAUCUAACUAAAGCUUAUUUUGCUGAAGUCUAUGGUUUUUACUUCCAUAUAAAGUUGAAGGUGUCAGAACUAAUGUUUUUGAUGUUUCAAUAUUUACUUUAGUCCUCCCAUGUAGUUCACUAAGACUAGCUGAAAUAUAAAUGCUAUAAUUUAUUACA